GUUAUAAUAAUUUAAACAAAAAUGUUGGUUUUGUAAACCAAAAUUGAAUUUAUCUUAUAACU
rnacentral:tRNA from 1 species